rnacentral:rRNA from 1 species
GAUGAACGCUAGCGGCAGGCUUAACACAUGCAAGUCGAGGGGUAUAGUUCUUCGGAGCUAGAGACCGGCGCACGGGUGCGUAACGCGUAUGCAAUCUACCUUUUGCAGAGGGAUAGCCCAGAGAAAUUUGGAUUAAUACCUCAUGGUAUGUGAGAAUGGCAUCAUUUUCACAUUAAAGUCACAACGGCAAAAGAUGAGGAUGCGUCCCAUUAGCUAGUUGGUAAGGUAACGGCUUACCAAGGCAACGAUGGGUAGGGGUCCUGAGAGGGAGAUCCCCCACACAGGUACUGAGACACGGACCAGACUCCUACGGGAGGCAGCAGUGAGGAAUAUUGGACAAUGGGCGCAAGCCUGAUCCAGCCAUGCCGCGUGCAGGAUGACGGUCCUAUGGAUUGUAAACUGCUUUUGUACAGGAAGAAACACUGGUUCGUGAACCAGCUUGACGGUACUGUAAGAAUAAGGAUCGGCUAACUCCGUGCCAGCCGCCGCCGUAAGAC